AGUUACCUUUCAAAAACCUAAAAUCUGUUUGAUUAAUCCUUUAAAAGACUUGGUUUUCUAGCUAAGUUUGUACGGUUUGCAGCAGGCCAGGUUCCUGCUAACAUGUGGAAGGGGAAGGGUUAAAGAACAAGCACUCACCAUGGCGGUCUCACACCUGGGAGGCUGGUGGGCUGCAGAGGGGUAUAAAAGGGAGCAGGGAAAGGGAACUAAGUGGUUUGGCCUCUGGGAGGGGGAGAGAGGCUGUUGCAGCCCACCAGCAUUUCUAAAUCUGCAAACUCCACUGCUACGUGAGAAAGGCAGCUACAGCACGUGAGGAGGACGGAGCUUUGACUAAAGGAAGUAAGACAGGAAAAGCAAGUUCUGCCUCUCGGAUUUACCAGAACGCUUCAGGAUGUCCAAACAAGUCAGCUAGCUGCCAAGUGGGAUUCUUCAGCCAUCUAACAGCCAUGCUGGGUCACACCACCCAGUAUCCUGCCUUUGUGAUUGCCAACAGGCUGCUGGAAAAAGGCUAAUGAUGUUACUCCAGAAUACUUCCCAAACAUUCAACAUGUUGCAUUUCAAGGUUAACAACAAGAGGGAAAGGGACUAAUGCUGCUUUUGCCCCUCAAAAUGCAGAAGCUCUGGGAACAAGCGUUCUUUUGGAUUAUUUCGGUGAUAAAGUUCAAUAGUGCUACUCCUCCAGUUUGAACCAAAUCUAUUCUUUCUCAUUUGUUGCUUCGAGGUUCUUGAAGUGUGAAAUGAUAGGCAGUAUCCACUUCUAAAACAGACCCAGCAACCAGAAGCAGCAAGAAUGAUUUAAUUCUGUCACUUGCCUGCCACACAAUUACAUGACUAACUUCUGUUCAGAGGGUAAAACAACAACUCCAUGUUGACACAGCCCGGGAAUAAGACCCACUGCUAGUUAUUUAAAGAGCCUUCCUCCCACUUAAUGCUGGCAUUGCUGUCAGACUUCCCUCCUGCUGCCAGUAUUUGUGGUGGCAUGACUGGGAUGCUCAGAGGAUUGGGCACUAUCUUGUCAGUAGUUUUUAACUGACAGCUAUUCUGCUCUCCAUUACUGCUUUGGCGCCACCUCUUCAAACGGUUAAUUUACUCUAUUUACUGUGUGUAUUCUGAGGGAGGAAGGAAGAGGGAAAGGGCUGGAAAUUCCCAGUGGGAGGUCAACAUUGCUGCUUGCUCAGCAGUUCAUUUCCUCUCGCUCUGUAAAGCGCUGGUUAGCUCCUAAAUUGCAUCUGUCUACCACAUCAGGUCUGUAACAGGCUUUUCUGUAGAGACAGGGAGUAGAGCACAUCGCGAACUGAGAGGAUGAACCAGUACUACCCUGCCUCACAUGGCACUGAGAAGUUUUUACACCAGCAGCAAUGGUAGUAGUGGCAAGUAGAAUCACACACAGCCAAUUUGAUAUGAAUUAUUACUGAUACUGGGCAUGCAUCAACAAAAGCAAAAACGUGACCUUGUGUGAGUCGUGCAGCAGAGAAAUCAAACCCAGUAGCUGAAAAGAGUACCUCCAGCCCACAGGAGGACUGCUAUCUGUACUCUAUCACAUCAAACAGUGGGGAAAUUAAUGAAGUACAACAUGAUUUAACCUAAGGUAGAAAAUAAGAUCUGACAACAGAACUUCAGCUGCCUUCAGUUUCACGGCCAGAUUUCUGCCAGUUGUGCCAUACAGCUUUGAGGGUGAUAUGUAAAACUGCUUCUUAAUUUAGGAGUUCUAUGAAAUGUAAAUUUUGAGCUGGGAUUAAGACCACCGUCUGUGCCAUCCAGAAGGGAACUUGCAGGGGGUGCCCCCGCAUCUUCUGGGUUGAGAGGCCAAGAAAAGUUUCCUUUAUCUUGUUAAAUUAAGAUUUUUUCAAAUUUGACAGAGUUCCACCUCAUUCCUUCCUCCUCCCACUCCACUGAAAAACAUUCCCAGUUGUUGCUGGCCUGUAUAGGUUGUCAGGACAGCUGACUGCUUGGAUUACACAGGACUGUAUUGUAUCCCUUCAAGAACCAGCCACCCUAAGUGCUUCCUUUGGGAUCAGGGCUCACUACUGGGCUGAUAGCAGCACACCAGGUGCUGUCUUGAAAUUGGACAUUCCAAGGCAACAGGCAGUCCUGCAACUGCUUCUCAAAAUCAUUCUUCCUCUUGAGCCUCUUUAAUACAAACCUACUCCAAAUCAGACAUCUGAGUAACUAAAAAACAUAGUGAACUUAAGGAGGCAAAGCCAGAUGAGUUUAAAAUGGAGGGACAGAAUUGUGCCUUACACUUUUUGUCCAGGUACCGGAAGCGAAAGCAGUUCUGGCUUUUGGGGGGGGGAAGAUAUCUAGGGGGAAGAUAUUUUCAGUUACAUUUCUAUUACCUGCAACAGUUAUCUAUGGCAAUCCUGUAUUUAAUUUUUUUCAAAAUUAACCAUAGCCCUCCUCAGUGCAGUAGUUAAAGCAGAACAUUUUCCAUCCCAUGUAGAUAGCUUCCAUAGAUAGAGGCUUUUCUAUCUCAUCUUUAUGGAGACCUCUUAGCACUGCUGCAAGCUUGUUGAGAUGUCAUUGAGUUACAAAAAUGUAACCCCCUGCCUUUUAUAGGGCAUUUCUUUGAAUUCCAUGCUGUUGGGAUGUUUUACCUAACUCCCAAAUUUCUUUGAAAAAGUACCUCUGAGGUAACUACAAGGCAUGCUGCAGGUGAAGAACUGCUACUCUCCAAGCAAUGGAGCAUCCAGCAGCAGAUACAAUUAACUUGAGACUGAAAGCUGCUGUACCAUGUAGGCUUCAAAUGGGUCUCUCAGCUCAGGAAGACUUCAGAGAAUCAGAAGCUAGCUAAUAUUUGAAAGCUAAUUGAAGGGUCUUUAGAAUUAAUGGCAUGCUUCCUGCUCAUCAACAUCAUUGCCAGAAAGCCUUCCCAUUGCCUUCAAGCUACUUUAAGCACUUAAAGCCAAGAUGACUGUGCUGCAUGAGGUGCUUAGGAGUAACAACUUCCUGGAUAGGUUACAGAACUGAGCCAAAACUGUCAAAAACAGUGAGGGAAGUGAGGCAAGGAAAGAUAUUUAUAUGACCAUAUUAUUGCUUUGAGAUCUUAAUCUCUCGCUAUCUAAAAUAAAUUAUAUAAGCAUAACAAUGUUAAAUUUUUAUACAGCCCGCAUAGUCAGUCCCUGGAGAAACUGAACCAAGAGCUGAAAUUCAGAAACCUAGAAGCACUCAGCACACUUAAGCACUUUCACCAAGGAUGCUGAAGCUGCUGCAUGAAGGAGCAGCAGAGAUUCUGGGACAACUACCCCUUAAGGUUACGCUUUCACCACGAACAGUAGAUUGCCUGUGACCAAAAAAUGAAACCCCCCUAAAGCACCCAUAAAGGCAGAGUGAAGCACCCAUGAAGAAAACAGCACAUAAAUCCAGCACUGAAAUCUAAAGAUUAGAGCCUCAUGAGUACCCAGCAGAGACCUGUGUGGAGUCUGAAGUCUUUUUCUCUAAAAAGACCCUUAGUUUAAACAUGCAGGGUCACACCUCAGGGUCUGAAGCUGGAAAAGCUGAGUAAUGGCAAACAUCAACUUGUCACAUCAAAUACAUCAAACAAUCGGCCCUCAGCAGGACUGACUAACUAGGUCGGUAUGUCCUUUUAUUAGUAAUAUCCAAUGUGACUGUUUAGUCAAAAAGUUACAUUGGGAAUUUGGUCUAAUUAAAAUGCAGAAUAUUACUAGUGCAAGAACUUAAUUUCUAAUUACUAGAGAAACUAGACUAACAGAUUUGUUCACAGAACUGAGAUUUUUUUUUGGCAGAAAAAUUGGUCAGAUAAUCCAUUUGUUUAUCCUACUUCAAGUUUGCACCUAACUCAUCUUGAAGGACAGCCAGUCUCUUCCUUCAGCUGUCAAUCUCACCAGCUUGAUUAGAGCAAUGAAGAGCUGCUGUCCAUGGGCACUGGGUUGUAGCCAGCUUUUCAUUAAAGGCAUACAUGUGUAGCACUGCAGAAAGUCAUUAGAGCUAAGAACCCGACAAGCACUAACAUUAAAAAAAUAAAACUUAAACCAGAUCAGAUGUAUCCCUACUCCUAGAAACUUGGAGGAGUAGCCUUAUGAAGAGAUACUGCCUUUCACUCUUGAAGUAUGAGUUAACUCACUUCUGAAUUUCAAAGAGUUAAAUUAAAGGACAUUAUUUAAGGGGCUUGUUUCAGAUAGCAACUUUGCUAAAGAAAUGCAAUGCUAACAAGGUCUAUUAGAUUUUUUUUUUUUGUCAUCCUAAACCCGACUCACAAAGCUCUCCCCCAGGCACAAGAGACAAAACCACUGUACUUGUUUUCUCUGGUUUUGAGGGUGCAGGCUGACCAUUUGGCUAAGUUUACUUCCAAGAUUAGGUAUUUCUUGCAUCAGUUUAAAAUUCCAUCCAUUUUAGAAAAUAAGACAACUAUUCUUACUUUGAAAAUCCUCAUUGCAACUUCUGAAAAUUACGUAACUGAAUGUUGUGAAGAGAUUAUUUAUAACGGACUUCAUAUGACUGGUAUUGCUACAGUUGGCCCCGUUAGGGUGAAAUUACAAUUGACAAUAGAUGCACACGAACGGCAGGAAUGAAACUAAAUGACUCAUCCAACUAAAAUAGAUGGAGUCUAAUGACUUGACUUCUGAAGACAGGGCAGGGCUUCCUACAUAAUGACAGGUAUAACAUAAUUACGGAGAAACCGACAGGCUUGGCUUUGUUCUUAAUACAUGAAGGUGGCUGCUGUAAUCUAAGACAAAUACAUAAAAUGCAGGUCAUUCCUUUAAACUGGGGAGGAAAAAUAUUCAACUCUGGGUGUGGAGGUCUCAACCCAGUUUUAAUGGGCACUUCUCCAAUGUUAUGAAAGCAGUAUAUCACGUAAGGGUGGUAGCCUAGUUAAGGAAAAAUCAGCAUGUGUAAAGAAGGUGUGACUUGGGCAGAGGAAAAGAGCAUGCUGGUAGAGCAUAAACCACCACAAUGGUGUGUAUGAGCACUGUUUAUGUUUACAGGCAUGUGGCAUCUACCCAGGCUCAUACCGCCACGACUCCGUCUCUCUGAAGAGGUUAGCAUUAUCUUGACAACUUGAAUGGGAAUAUGUAGUAGCCCUUACAGCCAUCAUUAGAGACUUAUGAAAAGAAGCACUUCAAAUAACUCCUUACCCUUAUUAAGAUUCAUAAUCUGAGCCUUCUGCAGCUGUUGAGAUUCAUCUCCCGUUUUUGUCUGGAGAUUUGGGGUGGGGAUCACUGUGGAGGGUGCAGACCCUGGCAGACACAAACGCUAACUGCGCAGCUGUCUUCAGAAGCACGCUGCUGAAAGGACUGAGCAUUCCUCCUCAGAGACCAGGCCUGAGAAGCAAUUGUUUUUGGUGUGGUUUUUUUUUUCAGAUUUAAAAUUGUUUGAGUGCUAACUUGUAAUGUUGAGAGUGAACACAUGUCAUAAGGUAGUGUGCCUGUUCUUUUACACAGGAGGCAGUCAGGAAACAGCAGUAUGAGUAUCUCAUCCCAAACAGCAAAGUUCUCUAAAGCAGAUAAUUGCUCUCUAGGGACAAAAUUGUUCUCCAGACUUGUCACAAGACGCAGCAAUCUCUUCCAGUGAGGGUAAAAGUUCUAGUCAGACUUGUUUCCAAACCUUCUAGUAGGUAACCAUUUGGCUUGCUCGAGUGUCCACAAUUAACAGGAAGAUCCACAAAUUUGGCUGAAACACUUGUUAAUAACUGAAGGAAUUCACUCUGUCUUCAGCUCCAUCCCAGCAGGGAGGUAGGAAAGCAGAAAAGAAAGGGGUAAGGUACCAGACCACAGGCUGCUGCUGAGGCUGAACCUGCUCUGUGGGUGGUGGCCCUCACUAGAGCUAAGUGUGCUGUGUUUUCUGCUAAUAGUAAAUGCUUAUUCACACAUGCGCUAAAUUCACAGCCUACAGAACGUGCUCAGUCAGGGCAUGCUAAUAUUAUGACUUGAUACUACAUGGGAUAUUUCUGUAGCACUUGAUACAGAGCCUCACAGUUUGGAUAUUUUAUUCUCUUGACAGCGCUAUAGAGUGGGAAGAUAUCCCUGCUACGCAGAGGAAGGGAUAAAGCAAAAAACAGUCACUUGCUAAAUAUCACACUGGAAGCUGUGGCAAAGCAGGACUAAAACUGGUGUUGGGCAGCCAUCCUUCCUAAAAUUCAAUAUUUAGAGAUUUCACAACAAAAUCCUUUCAGUACCUAAGUAGUGAAUAAAGCUUUCAAGACAAAGUGCAUAAGAGUUUGUAAACAGGUAGUGUCUCAAACUACUGACGCUGUCUCCACAAACUCCCCUACAUUUCCUCAUACUAAUGAAGUAGGUUUAAAACGCGAUAAAUUCAAGCAUCAAAAAAAAAAGGAAGAAAUUCCUAUCAUAGGACAAAGCACAAUAGAAAGCCUCUAUGGUUGAACUUGGAAAAGAAAGCAUGGUCCUGUGGAAAGGACACUGUAGCAUACAAUUCAAAGUGUCAAUAGUUCUGCUAGAGAUCUGUUGCAUAAACCAUCUUCUCUACUCGUGCCUCUCAUCUCUACGAUAAAACUGUCUUCCUUUUAUAUACUUACUACCCUACCUGUAACGGGAGGAAAAAAGAUUAAACAGCUAAUUACUACAGAAAGUAGUUUUCUUAACUGCAGGAAUUUUUAUCAAUAUCACUUCUUUGUAUUUAAGCAAAGAUGGUAUCUUCAUGGAGGAAAAAAUUUUCUUCAAUCCCUGGGUGUCUGCAUUCCUGGUUCUAAAGUUGGCAGCCUUCAUUUGUCAGCAAAGGAUUAGGGAACAAACUCUUCCAUCGAGGGACAGACGGAUAGGAAGACCCCAUGUUAAAAGGACAAGAAGGAUGAGGGCCUGACCUGCUCCAGGCAAGAGAACAUAAGGAAAAAACAGGCAAAUUAAGUUAUUGAAGUGACAGGAAGGAUUAAAAGCACAGAAGAAACAAGGGGCAUGUAUGUCAAACAACACAGAAAGGAACAGCAGGGCCAGAAAGCAGACUUAAAGCAAGGAAAGGUGGUACAGCAGCAUGUAAUAGAAGAUAUCACAGCACAGACUUGAAUGUUACAUAAUGUUACUGAAGGAACAGAAAGACCAGACUUAGCUGGUUUGUCAUGAUUUUCACCUAAUUUUCAGAUGGGAUAUGGCUCAAAACAAAGAUACAGGCAGCUGCAUAAGAAUGCUAAAUGCUCAUGCGAAAGGAAAUAGUCAUUCUUCCUAAUUUGUCACCAGCACCUAUUGCUGGACAUUCGAUUCUGCUGCCUUUUACCUUAGCCUCAGACAACCCUCAUUUCAAAGGGUAUUCAGAAUAGACUGCUUGCUUCUCAACACACUGCAUAACUAUCUAAUUUCUAAAAGCAAAUCUGUAGAGCAACCCCUGGAAGACUAGCCUUCGGUUUGGUGAACUGAAGCGCUGCUGUGCCAGAGCAGUUCAUAUACUAAAGCCUGUUUCUCUGUUAACAAACCAAGAUGCUGCUUCUAUAACAGCUUUUAUGGUUUUGAAAAUUACAAGCUCAUCUCCCUGGAGGCUAGGGGAUGGAGCAUUGGGGAUAAUUGUGAUGAACAGCAUUUUAAUCUUUCUGUAAGAGGAAGUAAUGGGUGGGUGGAUGUAACAAAGCCAGAUGCCAAGGCCUGAUAUGCACUUACACCUCAACCUCAUAGCAAAUUAAGAAAGUGGGGGGAAGAAGAAAAGGACAGCUGUUGCAUACCAGAACUCAUGCUCUUGCAUUUACAUGAUAAUACGCAAGCCAGAGUCUUAGUUAUAUUUUAAAUGGAUUUUCCUAUGUCCUUUCUAGUAGUCUGUUUUAUGACCUUUAUGAUCCAGUAGUCUGUUUUAUGUAUUCCUUUUAAUGUGGCCUGUCACUGACUAGUACUAAAGGGAAUGACAGGUGACUUUUAGAAAAACACAACUGUGUCCUAAUGUAGUGUAACAACUACCCCACAGCUGAGCAGUCAAGGAUGAACACCAGAGUAGUGUCAGGUGAUUUGAUUUUCCGGUACUUACGUGCCUAAACCCUAGCACCAAGUUUAGGAUCUCUUUGCAGAGAUCCUGUCUCCCAGCCAACAAUGCUACUACACGAAUGCCUACUGCAAUUCACUCUUGUUUGGUGGUGGAGUAAUACCCACAACCAAGUAUAGCACGCUGAAGUUCACUAACUGGUGCCAAGUCACUAGAACUGCAACGUCUUUAUGCAAGUUUGAUUUAACAUCCAGUAAAGCAGAGUUUUGAGUUUGCAUUUCAAGACAAGUCAAACUACUAACACAGACGCUAACCUUUCAGACCUAUUAUCAUGCCACAAGUGUUUUGGAAUAGUCUAGAACCACAACAAACACAUCUCAAACAGCCUACAGGAUGAGACGAGUGGGUGACCGAACCUCUAGCCUGCAGACAGCUUUCCUGUGUGUGUUUAUGCUAAAGUUAAUUCUAAACAUCUCCACAAAACAGGCAAGCGUUAUUGCCAUGAUGAGAAAAGCACACAGAAGCAAAGAGAAGCAGCUCUAAUUUGAGUGCUCAGGUCAGCCAGCAGAAGUAUCAGACUUUGUCUUUUCAUGCACGAAAGGUUGCCUGCGUUCUCAUACAAAAACAGUCUGGAAAACCUCUCCUUCUGGCAGAUGAAGUUACCUAGGAUAAAGCCCAACAGAAACAAAACUAAAAAGGAAGCAGUUCAGCUCUUACAGGCAAAAGCAAAAUAAACACGUAUCCACUACAAUUUAAAACAGCUACAUCUGCCUUAUGCAACUUGGAUCUUGUCCUUCCUAAGCCAACAGUUACUUAAAACACACUAAUAUUGAAAAACUCUACUUUUAAUUUACUAACAGAAAAACCUUUUAGUAACAGAUAAACUAAGUCAAAGCAUUGUAGCACCCUCUCGUGGUAAGCUGGAAAAUAAUUUCCUACAAAAGCAGCUGCAAUUGAUCCUUUUACUUUCUUCAAGUUCAGCGUGCUGCCCCUGCUCCUCAGCUACCAGGAUAGCUCUGCUUCAAACUCACCUGCUUCCUGCUGGCAAUGCGAUGGGCAUUCCAAAGAAAAGCAACAAGGUGAACUUGGUGUGGAGAGGGCAAGGCAAAAGAAAGCAAAGAGGCUGUCUAAGAGGUUCCUUAGGUGCUGUCCUUGUCCAGGAACAAAUGCUAACUAGCAAUGCUUCAUGUAUGAGCUGCAGUUUAAUUGUGCACGUUAGCUGUUAAUCAGCACCUGGGGAUACCAUCCCCCAUGUGUAAAGCAAGAAAACUAGCAAAGCUCACCUGAAUCUAAACA